rnacentral:rRNA from 1 species
AUAUUUUAAAAUUGAGAUAAUAAGUAGUGUAAAAUAAAUUAUUUGUUUGAGUUAGUAUUAAGAGUAUAGAAAGUUUUAGUUAAAAAAGUACUGUAAAGGUGUAAAAUAAUUAUUUAAUAGUAGAAUUAUAAGUUCGUACCUUUUGCAUAAUGGGUUAAUGAUAUAUUUGUUUUAUAUAAAAAGUUCUCGAAAUAAAAAGAUUUAUUUGAUAAUAUUACGUUAACGUUGUAAAGUUAUGUUUUUAUUAUUAAAUAGUAAUGAAAUGUUUAUCGGUUUUUAUGAUGGCUAGUUUAUUAAUGAAGGUAUUUUAGUACCUUAAUAUUGAUUUAUUGUAAUAUAAUUAAUAUUAUUUAUUUUAUAAGGGAUAAGCUUUAUAUAAUGUAGUAGAAUAGUAAUAAAUUUAUUUUUAGUUGUAAGUAGAAUUAAAAUUGUUUAUCUUAUGAAGUAUUAUAAAAAUUUAUUUGAGUUGAUUCAGAUUUUUAAAUUAAUAAAUAUUUGUUAAUUUUUAAUAAUUAAUUAUAAUGUUAGUAUGAGUAUUAUUUAAAUUAUUUAUUUGGGGCUAUAAAAGUGUAUUAAUGAUAAUAUAUUUAAUUAAAUAAAAUAAGGAAAAGGAAUUCGGCAAAAAUAAAUCUCGCCUGUUUAUCAAAAACAUGUCUCUUUGUACGAUUAAAAAUGGAGAGUUGGGCCUGCUCGGUGAAGAAAUUUUUAACAGCUGCGGUAUUUUAACUGUACUAAGGUAGCAUAAUAAUUUGCCUUAUAAAUUGAGGCUAGUAUGAAAGGUUUGACGAAGGUUUACCUGUCUCUUUUUUAUUUAAUAGAAAUUAAUUUUUUAGUGAAAAAGCUUAAAUUCUUCAAAGGGACGAGAAGACCCUAAUGAGCUUAAAUUUUAUUUUAUUAUAUAUAUUUUAUAGUAAAAAAGAAGUUUUAGUUGGGGUGAUUAAGGAAUAAAAAAACGAAUGAUGUAACUUCCUUAAAUAUAAAAUUGUUAAAUUAAGUAACCAAUUUAUAUUGCUUAUAAUAGAGUUACCAUAGGGAUAACAGCGUAAUUUAUUUAGAGAGCUCAUAUCAAAAAAUAAGAUUGCGACCUCGAUGUUGGAUUAAAGUAACCUUAAGGUGCAGUAGCUUUAGGUGGUGAAUCUGUUCGAUUUUUAAAACUUUACAUGAUCUGAGUUCAGACCGGCGUGAGCCAGGUUGGUUUCUAUCUUUUGAAUAAUGUAAUUUUUUUUAGUACGAAAGGACCGGAGAAAUUAAUUGUAAUUAUUUAAU